CCACGCCCGGCACCCUCGGCAGCGGCAAAGCGGGCUUCGCCAGCGGCGCCGGCACUCGGAGAACUACCUAUGCUUCAAAAUGGAAGUGAGGAAGAAGAGUCCCCAAAAGUAUUAAUUUGAAUAAAAAUUAUUGUUCUUAAGUAAGUACUUCUUGUUCUUUGUGAUGUUACGUCCACAACUGAAAACUGCUUUUCUGUUGAUAAAUCCU
rnacentral:lncRNA from 1 species